CUACGGGUCGCUCCAGUGAGGAAUUUUGCGCAAUGGGGGAAACCCUGACGCAGCAACGCCGCGUGAGCGAAGAAGGCCUUCGGGUCGUAAAGCUCUGUCAAGUGGGAAAAAAAUCUUUUGAUCAAUAGUCAAAAGACUUGAUGGUACCACUGGAGGAAGCACCGGCUAACUGCCGUGCCAGCAGCCGCGGUAAUACGGAGGGUGCAAGCGUUGUUCGGAUUUACUGGGCGUAAAGAGCGUGUAGGCGGUUUAGCAAGUCAGAUGUGAAAGCCCUGGGCUCAACCCGGGAAGUGCAUUUGAAACUGCUUCACUAGAGUAUGGGAGAGGGGAUUGGAAUUCCUGGUGUAGAGGUGAAAUUCGUAGAUAUCAGGAGGAACAUCCGUGGCGAAGGCGAUUCUCUGGACCAAUACUGACGCUGAGACGCGAAAGCGUGGGGAGCAAACAGGAUUAGAUACCCGAGUAGUC
rnacentral:rRNA from 1 species